rnacentral:rRNA from 1 species
GAUGAACGCUGGCGGCGUGCCUAAUACAUGCAAGUCGAGCGAACGGACGAGAAGCUUGCUUCUCUGAUGUUAGCGGCGGACGGGUGAGUAACACGUGGCUAACCUACCUAUAAGACUGGGAUAACUUCGGGAAACCGGAUCUAAUACCGGAUAAUAUUUUGAACCGCAUGGUUCAAAAGUGAAAGACGGUCUUGCUGUCACUUAUAGAUGGAUCCUCGCUGCAUUAGCUAGUUGGUAAGGUAACGGCUUACCAAGGCAACGAUGCAUAGCCGACCUGAGAGGGUGAUCGGCCACACUGGAACUGAGACACGGUCCAGACUCCUACGGGAGGCAGCAGUAGGGAAUAUUCCGCAAUGGGCGAAAGCCUGACGGAGCAACGCCGCGUGAGUGAUGAAGGUCUUCGGAUCGUAAAACUCUGUUAUUAGGGAAGAACAGAUGUGUAAGUAACUGUGCACAUCUUGACGGUACCUAAUCAGAAAGCCACGGCUAACUACGUG